ACUGUAGCUUUCAGGAAUCACACAAAUAUAAGAGGAAGGCUGGAGGAGUACACUGGUGUGGGAUGAAUACAGAAAAGCUCCCCUUGCUCACCUGUCUCAGUAGUUGGUGGCCUAGGAGUACUUUGUGUUGCUGCUCACACUGAAGCUGCAGGAAGCUGGAGGAGAGGACUGCAAUCACCCAAGAUGAGGCUGGUGAUGAGUGCCACACUAGGCCUUUCAGGCAUGGCUGAAGGGGAAUGAAAGGAUGUGUGGCUACAGCAGCAGGUAACCCUUAGCCCACCUUCAUCAGUG
rnacentral:lncRNA from 1 species